AAAAAAUUUGCUAUUUUACGAAGCCAAUGUGAUAAUACUCUGCUGAACGCAUAUAUUUUUUCCAGUGACAAGUGAGGUUAUCGUUACUGUGUGUCUUUUUCUCGAUGUAUAUGUAUCUCGGAUUAACGUUUGCGGAGGAUUUGUGGAGGAUCUUUUACUCGAGGAGAAUUACCCCGUCGCAUAUCCUAUUCUUAUGAUUUUUUUACUUACUGUCAUAAUAGAAAUGUAAACCAUCUGUUAGACGAAUAUUACAGAUACAGAUAAGUUUAUUCAAGCCUGUACAAAUUAUACCAAUGGAAAUACCGGCCUAUUAUCGACGGCAACGUGUUUUAUGCUCUUUUUCGGCUUUUUCAAGAAACGGAUGACACGACUAUAAUAACGAUGUACAUGUGCUCCACUCUGGCAAACGGUAUAAAUAGUGGCGUAGCUUCUCUACUGGAACGUUGACGUGAAGAGCAAAGAAAAUAUCAAGAAGAAAAGCUAGAGUGAAAGAAAGGAAAUAGGGACGUUUAUACGUAGCUAGCGAUUAAUGAUAUAUAUAUGUCAACAAUAAUGCGUAAUUAUGAAUGAAAAAAUUUGCUUUAAUGAUAUUUUACGAAGCCAAUGUGAUAAUACUGGAUUCUUGUUGAAUGCAUUACCUCAGCAUGCUUGUUAUUUUACAAGCUGUAAAAUAAAAAGUAUUUUGUA